GAAUUGUAUUUGUAUGAAUAACUAUACGUAAAGUACUUGUUCAAUGUGUAUGAAGAAAACUUGCACAAUUUUUUUUUUUUUUUCUUCCUUAGUAAUAAUUAUUCUACGUAUAAUUAUUUUAGUACAAUGUACAUUAAUGAAUUAUGUGAAUGUAAUAUCCUAGGUUUGGGUCAAGAACCCAACUUGCGAUUAGACAAAGAAGACAUGUGAAUAACAAUGAUUGUAAAAUCCGUCAAGGGCAUUACAGCACAUUAAAAUCUAAUUAACUCUACUAUACAUUUUAACGAGUGACUUAUCAAUGUGUUCUAUAACGGUCGUAAGACGCUCCAAAUUGUCCGUCGAGUAGAACAAAAAAUAGAAGAAAUACAAAAAGCAACUCUCUUCAGACAUCUUGUUCAGAGCCUUCCAUCUUGUCGUUAGAAUUGCCUACUAAGAAAGCAGUUGGCGAGCUAAAGGGGUUCUUUAGAUGCGCAGCCGCAGUUUUCUCCCACUUCUGCUCGAUAUUCGAGUGUAAUAAUGCCGGUGGUUGCGAAAGAACGAGCAACGAAUGAGAGAGAUGAUAAAAGAUAUGAGAUAGAAGGGUGUGUUAAGGAACCCGGUAGCCAGUCUAGUCAUCCCUAGGUGAAAAUCCAAUUCGUAUUCUUACCAGCUAAGCUCAUCUUCUUUUCAUUACACUUUAAUUAGUGAUGAUUAGUGACUAGGUGCUAUGCUGCAGUGUUGUUGGUCUGAAUUUAAUUAUGACCAGUGGAUCCACAC